GACUCUUGGCAAUGGAUAUCUCGGCUCUCGCAUCGAUGAAGAACGUAGCGAAAUGCGAUACCUGGUGUGAAUCGCAGAAUCCCGCAAACCAUCGAGAGUCUUUGAACGCAAGUUGCGCCCGAGGCCACUCGGCCGAGGGCACGCCUGCCUGUGCGCCA